UGGGGACAGGUUUUGGAGCCAAGUAAUUGAGCCUUUGGUUAUGGAGUAAGUGCGAAGUUGUGGUAAGAUUAGCAAUCUGCCGUUGCUGUUGUUGUUGCUGGAGAUGAAUUUGGGCUUGGAUUUGAAGGAUUUGAGAAGGGGUGAGGUGGUUAAGCCCUAUUGAACCUGUUUGCUCAAAACCCAUCUGGUUAUAAUUAGAUGGGGAGCUAAAAUCAGAGUAAAAAUUGGGCUGCGACGAGAUUGGAGAGUCAUAAGAGCAAGAAGGGUAAGAGGAGAAAGAAGAAGAUGAAGAAGGAGAAGCAGAGGGAGAUGGUGAAGUAUAAGAAGGGGAGGUUGAUGACGCACUUUUCAUAAAAGGUUCAAGUGCUUUCAUGAGUUCUUCUCUACAAGGAUCUAUAAUUGAGAAACCUGGUGUUACGCUGCUAUUGUAGAAAUCUAUAGCUGCUGCCAUACCUUUUCUCAAUCUAAAAGACAAAGAUCUUAAAAUUAACCUGUUACUUAACAAAAUUCAAGAACAGGGGAGGAACUAGAUUUAUAUGAACAGCAAGAGUAGACAAAAUCCUAGUGAAGCUUGAAAAAACAAAAAAGACCAACCUUGAGGGACCAAAAACAAACCCUCUCAAGUUGAUGAAACUGUAGAAAGAAUAAAAUACAGGGAGAUAAAAUAAGCC
rnacentral:lncRNA from 1 species